GUGAAUUUAUGAGUUGUUUUUCAUUGUUGACAUUCAGCCAAGUCAGGAGGAAAUUGAAAAGUAAAGUGUACAAUUUUUCCAAGUAUAUUUGAAAUACACUAAUAAAAUAUCUGUUAUCUUGAUUAAAAUACCAAGUGUGAAUAAUGUGGUGGAAAAUCAGCAAGCUGAAUUGAUGCCAUUCGAUUGUUUCUUUUUAGCAUCCCUACUAGUCACUUCAAAAUGAUUCCGGUAAUUUGCUUCGUAAGUUGAACCGAUUUUUUCAAUCAAGUCACGAAGGAGACUCGACGGAUUCCAGAAUGUGACAAUCUGACAUUGCUGAUGUCCCUUAGAAGCGUUUUUGCUGAUAAUUGAUCAACUACGGUGGUAAAGGCAAAUGACCACAAUGGUUAAAACCAAAUAACGGCGGUUGGAAGACACGAACAUAAGGGAACAAGGAAGAGUUUGAGCUGCACUUCAAUGUGAAUCACUUUGUUCACAUUCACAAUUCUCGUUCACUGACAAACCAUUGAUUUGCUGACACUAUGCUGUUUACAUCCGAAGACGAUUAACCGAGCUAGUAGGAUAUCUAAAUCGAUGUAUAUGAUCGUUGCAAAACCAUUCCGUGACUGAAAGUUAGUAUUUGCUCAAGGUGUCUCAUAUUAGAGCAUGUAGAGAACCCUUUGGCUAUAAAGAAGAACCUUUUGGAUUAUAUAUAAAGGUCGCACGGUUCAGCACAUUACAUGUUGUGCGUUAUGAUGUUGUGCAUAAUCAGAUCGGACCACCUUGGAGCUAUUUCAAUAUCCACAUAAUAUUUUCCGACCUGUUAGACCAAAGAGGACUUGGAUGCAAAAUGGCAUCACAUAACAUGUUGCACUGGCAACGCGCGCAUCUAACAAUGUUUCAAAAUUGGUCUAGUAUAGCAAAUGAAUAAACCUUUACUUUAUCUGUAAAUUAUUAAAAAUAAAUUUUAGCAUAAAACUACUAAGAUGAAUUUUGACGCGCAGUUCAUUAUGGGCUAACACAGCCAUCUAUAGUAUCAGUACACAUGUCCUACAAUAAGUAAACCACAGUUGGAGCUCAACGCUAAGCUAAGACGGAACCAAGAAAAUCAAAUACUGAUUAGCACUUGUAUAAGCAUAUAUUUGAAAGCGUUCGAACGUAGCUAAAUAUGUCAAUUAUCCCUAUCACCCAU